UAUGUACUCCCUCCAUUCCAAAAUACUUGACUUCCAUUUGUCCAAAAAUGGAUGUGCCUAUAUACUAAAACAUGUCUAGAUACAUAUAUAUUUUGACAAAUAGAAGGCAUGUAUUGUGCAAUGGAGGGAGUAGAAU
rnacentral:pre_miRNA from 1 species